CCACUGUAAGAUUUAUAUUCUAUAGGUUUAAAAACAAAAGAACCCCCACAAACAAACCUCAAAACAUUUCUUUGUAAAAGGGUGCAAAGAAAAAGGAUAUAUCCACAUUGUAAAGCGUUUUCCUUGAUAAACUGUCUGGUAGCUCAUAGUAUUUGUAAUAUCUUUAAAGAAAGGGAAAAAAAAAUAACCACCAAACAUUUCUAGUGAUAAACAGAAGAUACAUGGUUUAGGGAAGAAGAUAACUCUAGGAUAGAGAAUGCAGCAGCAGCAAGUGACAAUCAGUUAUGCUCUUUACCUAGAAGUCAGGAAUGCUCUGAAAAUUGAGGAGUACACUUAAGCAUGGUUAUGGUGGUACAAAUGCUCUGGCAUUCUCCCUAGGUUUGCCAAGACCGCUUCCUGUCUCCACUACUUUCCACAAAGAUGUCGGAGCUAAGUCCAGCAAUGCAGGGCUAAGCUCUGUCAAAAUUAGUGGAGACGGGGAGUGGAGCCUGGCAGACCCAGGCUAAUGAGUCAAACCAUUCCAAAGUUGCAGGGCUUAGCUCAGGAGCCCAACUGAAGCUCUUAAAGGACAACUGUCACCUCAAAACUAUUUGGAAUAUAAUAAUCCUUUCAUCAAGUUUUAAAAGGAAAUAGAUUAGAUAGUCUAGGUUAAAAAAAAAAUAUAUAUUUUUUUUAAAUUAGACAAAUGCAUCCCUACCUCAAGUAUAGGACAAUAUCCUUCAACCAUUCAAUCUUCAUUAAAGGAUUAUUAUAUUAAAGAUAGUUUUGAGGUGACAGUUGCCCUUUAAGCAGGAUCUUCUGAAUCUCUGUCUGACCUAGUGGAGCCAUGCAGACUCAAGGUAAGAGAUCAAACCAUGAUGAUACUGAAUACGUUAAAUAUAUAAUGAAACUACAAAGUCAGAUGAGAGUAAUUCUGCAAAACCACUGAAAAGCAGUAUUCCAUUUUUAAAACUAUGCAAAAUAAAAAAAAGUUUUGUAAGAUUUAUAUACCAUAAACAAAUCCCCUACUAGUAUGAAGGCGGUCAUAUGAAGUAUUUGUAGGCGUGACGGCUAAUAACAUUUUAUAACGUCCACUAUGUCAGUAUAAAAACAAAGUGCUUAUCUACGCACCCCAUGACUUUUUUUUUUUUUAAUGCACAUUUUUCAUGUAUUACAACAGACUAAUCUGAAGGAAUAACACCUCACAAACCUAAAAUUAUA